GAUUGAACGCUGGCGGAAUGCUUUACACAUGCAAGUCGAACGGCAGCACGGGUGCAACCCUGGUGGCGUGGGGCGAACGGGUGAGUAAUACAUCGGAACGUGCCCGGUCGCGGGGGAUAACGUAUCGCAAGUUACGCUAAUACCGCAUACGAUCUGAGGAUGAACGCGGGGGACCUUCGGCCGUCGCGCGAUCGGAGCCGGCGAUGUCUGAUUAGGUGGUUGGUGGGGUAAAGGCCUACUAGGCCGACGAUCAGUAGCGGGUCUGAGAGGAGGACCAGCCACACUGGGACUGAGACACGGCCCAGAAUCCUACGGGAGGCAGCAGUGGGGAAGUUUGGACAAUGGGCGCCAGCAUGAUCCAGCCAUUCCGCGUGCAGGACGAAGGCGUUCGGGUUGUAAACUGCUUUUGUCUGGAACGAAAAGGGUCUGGCUAAUACCUGGGGGUCAUGACGGUACCGUAAGAAUAAGCACCGGCUAACUACGUG
rnacentral:rRNA from 1 species